UACGUAGGGACCAAGCGUUGUUCGGAUUUACUGGGCGUAAAGGGCGCGUAGGCGGCAAAUUAAGUCAGCUGUGAAAUCUCCGAGCUUAACUCGGAACUGUCAGCUGAUACUGAUGUGCUAGAGUGCGGAAGGGGCAAUCGGAAUUCUUGGUGUAGCGGUGAAAUGCGUAGAUAUCAGGAGGAACACCAAUGGCGAAGGCAGCACUCUGGGACGUGACUGACGCUGAGACGCGAAAGCGUGGGAGCAAACAGG
rnacentral:rRNA from 1 species